rnacentral:lncRNA from 1 species
GUUAUCCGAAGAGCGUCCUGUGGCAUCCACAAACAAACCCACGGAUGCGGUAACUAGCUGGAAGAUGUGUCUCUGUUUAGGGAAAGUCUCCCUCCAGCACCUGGCUGUCUUCCACGGCUGCACAUAGUUUAGUUGAACACUUUUUUGAAGAUAAAACGAGCACACAGUAGACUUUACAUCAGUAAUCUGCACAUUCGCCUGGGCAGCUACGCGUUCGCAGGAGGUCACCGGGAAAACCGUCACCGCGACGUUCUCAGGGUCCAGAGGAAGGACGGAGCACAGGUGGAUUCCUGCCUGUGGCCUGGGAUUGUGGCGGGUGCUGGUUCUGCCACCUCCGAGCGCACAAAGGCCGCCUUCAAGGGUCCCGGCCCACGCGUCUGUGCGAGGUCACC